GCACCCAUAGCUCAACUGGAUAGAGCAUCGGUCUACGGAACCGAAGGUUUCAGGUUCGAAUCCUGAUGGGUGUA
rnacentral:tRNA from 1 species